rnacentral:rRNA from 1 species
CACGUAGGGGACGAGCGUUGUCCGGAUUCAUUGGGCGUAAAGCGCGCGUAGGCGGCUCGGAAAGUCGGUCGUGAAAUGCCGGGGCUCAACCCCGGGACUGCGUCCGAUACUUCCGGGCUGGAGGUAGGUAGGGGAGAUCGGAAUUCCUGGUGUAGCGGUGAUAUGCGCAGAUAUCAGGAGGAACACCGGUGGCGAAGGCGGAUCUCUGGGCCUUACCUGACGCUGAGGCGCGAAAGCUAGGGGAGCGAACAGG